GAUGAACGUUGGCGGUGUGCCUAAUACAUGCAAGUCGAACGGAGUUAGUAGCAAUACUGGCUCAGUGGCGAACGGGUGAGUAACGCGUUGGUGAUCUGCCUUGAAGUGUGGAAUAACGUUUCGAAAGGAACGCUAAUACCGCAUGUGCUCUCGAUUUUCAGAAAGUUGAGAGUAAAGGAUUUAUUCGCUUCAAGAGGAGCCUGCGUCCCAUCAGCUGGUUGGUAGGGUAACGGCCUACCAAGGCUAUGACGGGUAGGGGACCUGAGAGGGUGGCCCCCCACAAUGGAACUGAAACACGGUCCAUACACCUACGGGUGGCAGCAGUAGGGAAUAUUAGAAAUGGACGAAAGUCUGAUCUAGCAACACCGCGUGUGCGAAGAAGGCCUUCGGGUCGUAAAGCACUUUUUGGAAGGAAUAGGAAGGAAUGUACUUCCAGAAUAAGUCUCGGCUAACUACGUGCCAGCAGCCGCCGCCGUAA
rnacentral:rRNA from 1 species